AGAUUGAACGCUGGCGGCAGGCCUAACACAUGCAAGUCGAGCGGCAGCACGGGUACUUGUACCUGGUGGCGAGCGGCGGACGGGUGAGUAAUGCCUAGGAAUCUGCCUGAUAGUGGGGGAUAACGUUCGGAAACGGACGCUAAUACCGCAUACGUCCUACGGGAGAAAGUGGGGAUCUUCGGACCUCACGCUAUCAGAUGAGCCUAGGUCGGAUUAGCUAGUUGGUAGGUAAAGGCCUACCAAGGCUACGAUCCGUAACUGGUCUGAGA
rnacentral:rRNA from 1 species